rnacentral:sRNA from 1 species
UGUUCGUGGAGGUGACCAAUCGCUGCUGCAGAGUCGGAGCUGGCUUGUGUUGUAGCAGAAUUUGCUGCUGCUGCUGCUGGCGCGGCUGCUGUUGCGGUGCCGUUACUGCCGCAGAUGCCGAUUGUGUAAUAAUCGUUCGCUGCGUACUGUUCGGCGCCGCCUGCACCUGCACCAGCUGCGGCUGCUGGCCCGGCCGCUGUAUCAGCGUCAGGCCCUGCGGCAGCGUGGUCAAACCUCCACCAACGUUC